CCUACGGGAGGCAACAGUGAGGAAUAUUGGUCAAUGGGCGUAAGCCUGAACCAGCCAAGUCGCGUGAAGGAUGACUGCUCUAUGGAUCGUAAACUUCUUUUAUAAGGGAAUAAAGUGUGGCACGUGUCCUAUUUUGUAUGUACUUUAUGAAUAAGGAUCGGCUAACUCCGUGCCAGCAGCCGCGGUAAUACGGAGGAUCCGAGCGUUAUCCGGAUUUAUUGGGUUUAAAGGGUGCGUAGACGGCUUGUUAAGUCAGUGGUGAAAGUCUGUGGCUCAACCGUAAAAUUGCAAUUGAAACUGGGGGGCGUGAGUAUGUUUGAGGCAGGCGGAAUGCGUGGUGUAGCGGUGAAAUGCUUAGAUAUCACGAAGAACCCCGAUUGCGAAGGCAGCUUACCAAGC
rnacentral:rRNA from 1 species